rnacentral:rRNA from 1 species
AUGGAGACGCUGCCGGACGACGUGGUGGUGGAGAUCCUGGCGCGCGUGACGGAUGUGGCAGCCCUCUUCCGCUGCGCCGCGACGUGCAAGCGAUGCCGCCUCCUCAUUGCCGAGCCGUCUUUCCUCCGCCGCCGCUGGCCGGAGGGCGUGAGCCGCGCGUGCUCCCUACUCGGCUUCUUCGCCAUGCAACAGCCCCGUGAAGAACCAACAGAAGGGAGCUCUACGGCUACGCCCAUGCCGCCCUUCACCCCGGUGCCAUGGUCCCCGCUCGGAGAGCGCCACCGCUCCCUGACCAUCACCGCCCCUGGGGGUCGUGGCUGCCAGGUAACGCUGCUCACCUCGCGCCGUGGCCUUCUUGUUAUGCGGUUCUUCCCACUCGAGGAACCCAGCGACUGGUACAUUAAGACCAUGAACCUGACAUUGUACGAUCCAAUCGCCGGCAAAAGCCGUCAGCUGCCUGAGUUGAAGAGCAAUAGACCUUUCCGAAUACAAGGAUGUGCCCUUCUAACCCGUGAGGAUUGUUGCCCGGACAAAACACGAGGAGCAGCGUCAUCGGUCCCCUCGUCCUUCCUCAAAGUGCUAAUCAUCGGCGUCGAUCAAGAUGAGCCAGGCGCCGAUCAAGACGAGCCACGGCACAAUCUCCACGUGUUCACUUCCACCAAGUCAAGCUCGAGCUGGAACACGCCCAGGAAGUGCUUUCAGCCUUUGGAGGACGGCACGCGUGUGGUGUCCCAGCAGAUCAGCGCUGUCGUGUGCCAAGGCACUGCACAUUGGCUCUUCAGCAAUACGUCUAACUUGUACGCACUCACUGUGUGUGCUAGGACCACAGAGAUGUCCUUAACAAGGAUCCCAGUCACACCGGAUCAUCCUCGGCUGCUGCUCGGAGUCACCGAUGGCGGGUCGCCAUCGUUGCUUCGCUUGGACGGGCAAUGCACCAUGCUGGAGAUCUGGACAUGCCGAACUGAUAACAUGAGUGGAGACAGCAACACUGGCCGCUGGCAUUGCACCAAGAUGAUCGAGUUACGACCACCCGAGUGGAGCAAGAUCGACCAGGCACAGUGUGUGUGCGUGGGUGAGACGAGCGGCAAACUGCUCAUCAAGGACAAUCAAGAAGACAUGUACAUCGUAGAUCUCCAAACAGGGGCAAUGGAGGCGGUCACGAGCUGGUUUCGCGGCAUUGUUUUGAGGGCCAUCCCUUUUGAGAUGGAUUGGCCAGCCUUCUUCACCCGUCGCUUGGCGAACACUAGGAUCAAACGAACUAAACCGGGAGGAGUUCUAUCAAAAUUUGCUGACCCUUUUUGGGGACAAAUAGUAGUGACGCUUAUCAUUGUGUCAAUUGCUAUGAGU